GCUCCUAGAAGGAUACUAGUUCAUCCAUUGGUCUUAGGAACCCCAAACUCUUGGUGCAACUCCAAGUAAUAUCU
rnacentral:tRNA from 1 species